rfam:Fukomys damarensis contig127380, whole genome shotgun sequence.
UAGGGGGGACGGGGCUCGGAGCCCCUCCCCGAGCCCAGGGUAACCCUAACUGUGGAGGGGCA